AUAAAAAUAAAAAUAAAAAUAAAAAUAAAAAUAAAAAUAAAAAUAAAAAUAAAAAUAAAAAUAAAAAUAAAAAUAAAAAUAAAAAUAAAAAUAAAAAUAAAAAUAAAAAUAAAAAUAAAUCACCUAUACAGAUUAUAGUAAAUCAAUUUACAGACAAAAAACAAAUAUUAAAUUGCCAUAUUUAAGAUAUAAUAUAUCUGCUUACAGCAAACUAUAGCAGACUGUGUCUAAUACUUCAGUCACUACUGAUUGGUUUGGGAAAAAUAACCCCCUUCAAGCAGAAAUCAGCUAACAUGAACAUGAUUUCAGACUGAGUAAUGAAGAAAAACAGCUCUAAUGGAUUUCAGCUGUUAAUGUGUACAUUUAAAUUAAGUGUCUGUUUUUGUUUUCUUGGUUCCCAACAGGGCUGAGUUCUGAGUGGAUGCUGGACUGCUCUGGGUUCUGGUCUCUUCGUAGUGCAUUUUCUAUUUUUAUUGGCUUGAGUUGAUGGAUCAGGCCCAUUGUAUAAAGUGCUCAUACACAUCCUACUUUCCCAAACGUGUACAAGAUGUGUAUAAAGUAUGUAUUUCAUUUCACCACAUUGUAAAAAUGUGAAAGUCUCACUUAAUUAAUUUGUAGGCCUAUAUUGCAAUGUCUUUGCUAGCACUGUAAUCCAUCAUCCCCUAAACUCAUCAGGAUUUAAUUUGUAUUUUGUUUGUGAUUUUGUAAUUCAUUUAAUUUCAACACAUUAUUGCUUAAUAACUUUUAUGAUGACUAUAUCUAUACCAGUUAACAUGUUCUUACCGUCUCUUGUAUGUUGGCUUUUAUGCAGUGUCAUGACUAUUGCUUUACAAAAGUCAGCAUUUACCAAUAUGUGUUUUUAUGUUUUAGUUUCCAAGCAGCACUUAAAAAGGUGUAAAGAGCAGUGCAGCUACAGGAUGCGAUCUAGCAGAAGGGCAAAGAGGGACCUCAAGGAUGACUCUACAGUUUGUACAGAUGUACCUUUUAGCCCCAUUUGACAUGUAUUUUUAUGUGUAACACUGUUUCUAAGUAAUUAUUUUGACACUGACUUAUUGUUUUGUACUUAAAAUAGUUCAGACAAUGGAUCUGCUGGCCAGUCCAUCCUUUUGUUUUGAAUCAACUGUUUGUUACUUUACUGUCUUUAUGCUAAGACACUAGAAAUCAAACAUCAGACAUUCUUUUAUAAUAGUGACAAUGAUGUUGUUGUUAUAAAAGAAUACCACCCCAUUUGUGAAAAGAUCACAGUGAUUUUUUUUUAGAUGUUUUUUCUAAGAAGUGUUCAUGUUUAAUAGUAUUGUAUUAUAUUGAAAUGAAUAGUUAUGAAGGUUUUUGUUUUAAUUAAUGUAGAAAAUGCUAAACUGUGGUCACUGUUUUGGAUUUAAAUGUUGCUCCAUGACUGCAGUCUAUCACUUUGCCAUAACUGUGUUAGGACAAUAUUAUACAUUCAGAUUGGAAAAAGUCUAAAUUAAAGGGUCGGAUCUAAAACAUUUUGAUUUGCACUAGCUGGUAGAUAAAAAACAAAACGAAAAAACAGUAUGGGGGUCAUAUGGCAUAACAAAAAUUAUGUGGAAAUCUGUGCAAACGAAUUGCUAAAUCGUUUGAUAAACCGAGUGCGCGGAUUAAUAUACCAAGCAAAUAGAUUCCUACACCUAUUAAUAAUCCGAGGAUUGAAAAACACAUUGGGGGGAAACAUGAUUUCAGAUGCAAAUAUUUUUCUUUGACCAUAUGAAACCUGGAAGGCUCUGUAAAAAAGAGAGGAUGCUUUUUAACUUUUUUUAAUCCUCAUUUUUCAAAACCGGAGGCAGAAAUCUAAGAGACAUAUCUCAAUAUCCAGACAAAUAAAACGAAAACCGUCGGUAUCACUAUAUGCCACUAGAGUUAAGGGAGAAAUUAACUUUCUUUUGUUUUGUGGUUUUUGCAGCACUUUGCAAGUAAUAUUGCAGCAGAGGUUUUUGAAUAUGCAUAGAGAAAAGCUAGUUUUUUCUCAUGUGCAACAGAGCAAAAAUACAGUUUGUUAUAUAGGGAAAUUAAUUUCUGUGUAAAUACUUUUUUUCUCAAGAAAGGCCUCAUGUUCUGAUUCAAAGCCUUACACAAGGACCUUCAAACAGGGUGGGGGGUUGAAGCCAGACCAUCCUGCUGCUUUGAAACUAUGACGAUACAUAUUGUGAAUGUAAAAGAAAGUCAAUGAGUCACGAAGAGAAAAAGUCAAGACGUUUUUGACCUCUGGAAUGAGGGUACUUUUAUUUCAAACGGUGAAAGGUGGAUUUAGAUGUAGAAUCUUGUCCCAAGUGAAAGUAAUGCUCAAAUAAAGGCUUUGUUUAGGUAUAUUAUUUUUGAUGUGUUUUGCCAGUGUACAGUUUCGAUUCAAGAUUGUGUCACGAAUACACCCUGGGAUGUUUCAUCAGAUUAAAUGUGUGAAAAUGUAAUAAACACAAAACCCUUUUGCAGAC
ensembl:lncRNA